rnacentral:rRNA from 1 species
CGGGGGGAGCAAGCGUUGUUCGGAUUUACUGGGCGUAAAGGGCGCGUAGGCGGCCACCGCAAGUCAGUUGUGAAAUCUCUGGGCUUAACCCAGAAAGGUCAACUGAUACUGCGGGGCUAGAGUGCAGAAGGGGCAACUGGAAUUCUCGGUGUAGCGGUGAAAUGCGUAGAUAUCGAGAGGAACACCUGCGGCGAAGGCGGGUUGCUGGGCUGACACUGACGCUGAGGCGCGAAAGCUGGGGGAGCGAACGGGAUUAGAUACCCCGGUAGUCCUAGCCUUAAACGAUGAAUGCUUGGUGUCUGGGGUUUUAUAGUCCCCGGGUGCCGUCGCUAACGCUUUAAGCAUUCCGCCUGGGGAGUACGGUCGCAAGACUG